rnacentral:rRNA from 1 species
UACAGAGGGUGCGAGCGUUAAUCGGAAUUACUGGGCGUAAAGGGCUCGUAGGCGGCCAACUAAGUCAUACGUGAAAUCCCUCGGCUUAACCGGGGAACUGCGUCUGAUACUGGAUGGCUUGAGUUCGGGAGAGGGAUGCGGAAUUCCAGGUGUAGCGGUGAAAUGCGUAGAUAUCUGGAGGAAUACCGGUGGCGAAGGCGGCAUCCUGGACCGGCAUUGACGCUGAGGAGCGAAAGCCAGGGGAGCAAAGCGGG